GAUGAACGCUGGCGGCGUGCCUAAUACAUGCAAGUCGAGCGAACAGACGAGGAGCUUGCUCCUUUGACGUUAGCGGCGGACGGGUGAGUAACACGUAGGUAACCUACCUAUAAGACUGGGAUAACUUCGGGAAACCGGAGCUAAUACCGGAUAAUAUUUCGAACCGCAUGGUUCGAUAGUGAAAGAUGGCUUUGCUAUCACUUAUAGAUGGACCUGCGCCGUAUUAGCUAGUUGGUAAGGUAACGGCUUACCAAGGCAACGAUACGUAGCCGACCUGAGAGGGUGAUCGGCCACACUGGAACUGAGACACGGUCCAGACUCCUACGGGAGGCAGCAGUAGGGAAUCUUCCGCAAUGGGCGAAAGCCCGACGGAGCAACGCCGCGUGAGUGAUGAAGGUCUUCGGAUCGUAAAACUCUGUUAUUAGGGAAGAACAAACGUGUAAGUAACUGUGCACGUCUUGACGGUACCUAAUCAGAAAGCCACGGCUAACUACGUG
rnacentral:rRNA from 1 species